ACCAUUUUACCUCAUAAGAUGAAACUCUAUAAAUUAAAAUGUUCUGUUCAAUUCAAUGCCUCGCCAGACAUCUGUUCCCUUUGCAUGUAAGAGAGAUAAAGAAAGCGACAAAAGCCAUAAAGAAAGAUAAGACUCUUUGAUUGAUAGAGAGAUAAGGCUCCUCUUAUCUUCUCAACAGAUCUUUGUUUCUUUCUUCUUUUCUUUUCUUUUUUUUCCUUUUUUGGUUAUGUUUGUUCUCGAUUUAGACAAAAAAACCCUAGACUUGAUCUUCCAAAGGGUGUCUGAAUUUCUUCCCUUUGUACAGAUUUGUAUUCUUUCUCUUUGUGGUUCUUUGCCUUCUUUAGUUAAAACUUAGAUCUAACCAUUAAUCUCUUUAUCUUUUCACUGACCCAAUGAUUAUUAUUCUUCGUUUUAUCUUGUAGAUCUCUAGAGUUGGAUGAAUUGUGAGUGAAUGAGCUGGGGCAAAAGAAACACACAGAAACUGACAGAAGAGAGUGAGCACACAAAAGUAAUUUGCAUAUGUUGUAUUUGCGAUCUCUUGCGUGCUCACUGCUCUUUCUGUCAGAUUCCGGUGCUGAUCUCUUUGGCCUGUCCUUGUUCUCUUUGUCUCAGUCUCUCUCUCUCACAUACACAAGCUCUUUCUCUCUCUCUCUCUCUCUCUUGAUUAUCUCCAAACUAAGGGGCAGCCUGAUAUGUCUGGACCAUCGUCAAUAUAUUAUUUGUGGCUAUGAUCUGUUUGGGUGCCUUGAAAGAAAAGAUUUCGAGGUGGAAGUGAUAGAAGUAAAAUAUCUGCAAAUAGUAUACAUGAGUAUGUAUUAGUAUCAAACAAUAUGUUGAUGAUGUUUUGUGUGAUGAAUAUUGGGUUUGCGGACAACUGAAGAUGCGGUAUUGGAAACCCAACUAACUAAGAAAAUUAGUUGCUCACAA